GGGUUAUAUAAGGAGAGAUAGGGAGAGACCAAGAAACACACCACAAAAGAAGACCCCCAAAAAGGAUAGAGUGCUGAAAAUCUAGAAUUUCUAGCGGCUUAAUUUUUGAUAAAAUCUUUCUUCUUGAACUCAACCCCCCCCCUAAUUCCCCGCUUCUCUGUAUCCCUUUCUGUUAAUCGUCUGCCUUUCAAAGAAUCUAAUUUGGGGUUUGUUUCUUUGGUUUAGUGAUUUUAAAGCUGAAAUCUUUGUUUAAAAAAAGGAAAACAAGCAAUUCCCUGCAAAGGGUGAAAGCCAGGUGAUUCAGAAUAGAGAUCCAGGUUGAUUUUCAUUUCUUCUACCUUCCUUUGCUUUGCUUUUGUAAUUUCAUCAACUUGAAGGGUUUGUUUUUGGUCCCUCAAGGUUGGUUUUUGUGCAAAAAAACCUCUUCUUUUAUCUGGGUUUUUUUUUUCUCCUCUUCCUUUCGUUUGUAAAACUUUCGUAAUUUUGCCACCUCUUUAGUUUUGUUUCAAGUUCUAAUUAACAGGAAUGGCAGCAGCUAUCGAUAUCUACAACACAACAGUGCCAGUUUUUUCAGAUCCUUGUAGAGAAGAACUCAUGAAAGCACUUGAACCUUUUAUGAAAAGUGCUUCGCCACCACCAACCUCCACUUAUUCUUCACCUUCUCCUUCAACUUCUCCUCCUUUCUCUUCUUACCCUUCUUGCUUUUACAACAAUAACUCUCCCAUCUCUUCAUAUCCCAACUUGGACCUUAGCUUUUGCUCUCCAACGAGCACCCAGAUGUUUUCUAAUGGGUUCUUGGAUUAUAACCAAAUGGGUUUUGAGCAAACAGGUCCAAUUGGGCUUAACCACCUUACACCUUCACAAAUCCUCCAAAUCCAAGCCAAAAUCCACUUCCAACAACAACAGCAGCAGAAAAUGGAAAAUCUUGCUACCACAUCACAGUGUGUCCAUAACCGAAAGGCUAGUAACUACUUGGCUCCAAAACCUGUCCCUAUGAAACAAUCUGGUGCUUCUCCUCAAAAGCCAACAAAGCUUUAUAGAGGAGUCAGGCAGAGGCAUUGGGGAAAAUGGGUUGCUGAGAUUAGACUUCCAAAGAACAGAACUAGACUCUGGCUUGGCACUUAUGACACAGCUGAAGAGGCAGCUUUGGCUUAUGAUAAUGCUGCUUAUAAGCUGAGAGGAGAAUAUGCUAGGCUUAACUUUCCACAUCUUCGCCACCAGGGAGCUCAUGUGUCUGGUGAAUUUGUUGACUAAAAGCCUCUCCAUUCCUCUGUUGAUGCAAAGUUACAAGCAAUUUGUCAAAGCCUGGGUUUGCAAAAACAGGGGAAAACAAGGGAGCCCAGUUCUGUUGCUAAUUCAAAAAAGACCGCAACAGCUCCUUUGCAAGCAAAAAUUGAAGAUGAUUGUUCUAUGAGAGGUGAAUUGAAAACGGAGUACGAGAAUUUUGGAGUUGAGGACUAUAAGGUGGAGAUCCCAUCACCAUCACCAUCACCAUCACCAGCUUCAUCUGACGAAUCAGUGGCUGGUUCUUCUUCACCAGAAUCUGAGAUUUCUUUCUUGGAUUUUCCCGGUUCUUUACAUUGGGACGAGUUUGAGAAUUUUGGUUUGGAGAAGUACCCUUCAGUUGAGAUUGACUGGUCAUCCAUCUAGGUCUUGAAUUAUUACCAUGUAAUCUUUUGUUUUUAGGUUUAUUUUGGUGUCUUUCAGUAGCUUCUGCAAUGAAGUUUUUGGCAUUUGCAGAAGUGGUGUUAAGGGGUCAGUCAGUUUUAGAUUCUAAGUUCUAUUAACUAUGCUGUCGAUAUGUACAGUAGGUCGCUCUCUAUCUUUGGUCUAGCUGGUACUUUUUUUCCUUGCUUGACCAUGGAUGAGUUUCCAUGUUUGGUCUGUAUUUUUAGGUCAGGUGUAAUUAAGCAUCAGUCUACGAAUAUAUCAAUCUAGUCCAACUUUUCUCCAUGGGUUCGAAUAUGGUGAGCAUGCAAUGAUGUUUUGUGAUGUCAAUUUUUCCAUGCAAA